CAGAAGAUAAUAUGUCAAAACGGGUGAAAUUGCCUCAAGUCCCAUAGCUUAAAGCUGAAUUACCUGAACAGCUCACUGCAUAUGAAUAAGGCAAUGGAGUGUGGAUGAAUAUCUUGAAGAGGAUCUUCUGAAUCAUUCUUCCCAAUGGAAUACCAUAGUCUCCAGUGCAAAACAAGAAAUGCUGACAGGAUUUUGUGACAGUGAACAAACCAUCAGAGAAUUCAGCAUCCAGAUGUUACAUAGAUCAAUAUAUCAUUGAUCCACAACAAUUUAGAGCAAAAAGCUAAUAAAUUGAGGGGUUUUUAUACUUUUUGCUUCUAUUAAGCUCUGACUGCAACAAAUUUUUGUAGUCU